CCUACGGGCGGCAGCAGUGAGGAAUAUUGGUCAAUGGGCGCGAGCCUGAACCAGCCAAGUCGCGUGAGGGAAGACGGUCCUAUGGAUUGUAAACCUCUUUUGUCGGGGAGCAAAAGACGCCACGCGUGGCGUUCCGAGAGUACCCGAAGAAAAAGCAUCGCCUAACUCCGUGCCAGCAGCCGCGGUAAUACGGAGGAUGCGAGCGUUAUCCGGAUUUAUUGGGUUUAAAGGGUGAGCAGGUGGAAGAUCAAGUCAGCGGGAAAAUUGAGGGGCAUAACCUCUUCGAGCCGUUGAAACUGGUUAUCUUGAGUGAGUGAGAGGUAUGCGGAAUGCGUGGUGUAGCGGUGAAAUGCAUAGAUAUCACGCAGAACUCCGAUUGCGAAGGCAGCAUACCGGCGCUCAACUGACGCUCAUGCACGAAAGUGUGGGUAUCGAACAGGAUUAGAUACCCGGGUAGUC
rnacentral:rRNA from 1 species